AGAGUUUGAUCCUGGCUCAGAACGAACGCUGGCGGCAUGCCUAACACAUGCAAGUCGAACGAAGCCUUCGGGCUUAGUGGCGCACGGGUGCGUAACGCGUGGGAAUCUGCCCUUGGGUUCGGAAUAACAGUUAGAAAUGACUGCUAAUACCGGAUGAAGUCUUCGGACCAAAGAUUUAUCGCCCAGGGAUGAGCCCGCGUAGGAUUAGGUAGUUGGUGGGGUAAAGGCCUACCAAGCCGACGAUCCUUAGCUGGUCUGAGAGGAUGAUCAGCCACACUGGGACUGAGACACGGCCCAGACUCCUACGGGAGGCAGCAGUGGGGAAUAUUGGACAAUGGGCGAAAGCCUGAUCCAGCCAAUGCCGCGUGAGUGAUGAAGGCCUUAGGGUUGUAAAGCUCUUUUACCAGGGAUGAUAAUGACAGUACCUGGAGAAUAAGCUCCGGCCAACUCCGUGCCAGCCGCAGC
rnacentral:rRNA from 1 species